GCUUGGUUCGAGUGCAGCAUCUACUGAAAUUGGAACGAAACAGAGAAGAUUAGAAUGUGCCGCGGGGCAAGAGAAGACACGCGCAUCGAGAAGUGUACCAUAUAUUU
ensembl:snRNA U6 U6 spliceosomal RNA